GUCCUUUAGGGUUUAAUUUAAGGUCUAACCUGCCCACUGAUUAAUUGAAGGGCCGCAGUAUUUUGACUGUGCAAAGGUAGCAUAAUAAUUAGUUUUUUAAUUGAAAGCUUGUAUGAAUGGUUGGACGAAGUAAAAUCUGUCUCUAUAGAAUUUAUAAUUGAAUUUAAUUUUUAAGUUAAAAAGCUUAAAUUUUUGUAAAAGACGAGAAGACCCUAUAGAUCUUUAUAUUUAUUAAAUUUAUUUUUAUUAAGAUUUUUUAAGGUUUAAAUUUAAUAAUUAUUUUAUUGGGGUAAUAGUUAGAUUUAAUUAAUUCUUUAUGUUUUUUACAUUAAUUAAUGAUAAUUUGAUCCAAUUUUUUGAUUAUAAGAUUAAGUUACCUUAGGGAUAACAGCGUAAUUUUUUUUGAGAGUUCAUAUCGAUAAAAGAGUUUGCGACCUCGAUGUUGGAUUAAAAAUUAUCUUAGGGGUAGGAUUUUAAGAUUUUGGUCUGUUCGACCAUUGAAUUUUU
rnacentral:rRNA from 1 species